rnacentral:rRNA from 1 species
GAUGAACGCUGGCGGCGUGCCUAAUACAUGCAAGUCGAGCGAACCACUUCGGUGGUGAGCGGCGAACGGGUGAGUAACACGUAGGUUAUCUGCCCAUCAGACGGGGACAACGAUUGGAAACGAUCGCUAAUACCGGAUAGGACGAAAGUUUAAAGGUGCUUCGGCACCACUGAUGGCUGAGCCUGAGGCGCAUUAGCUAGUUGGUAGGGUAAAGUCCUACCAAGGCGACGAUGCGUAGCCGACCUGAGAGGGUGAACGGCCACACUGGGACUGAGACACGGCCCAGACUCCUACGUGAGGCAGCAGUAGGGAAGCUUCGGCAAUGGGCGAAAGCCUGACCGAGCAACGGCGCGUGAAUGAUGAAGGCCUUCGGGUUGUAAAGUUCUGUUAUAAGGGAAGAAUGGCUCUAGUAGGAAAUGGCUAGAGUGUGACGGUACCUUAUUAGAAAGCCACGGCUAACUACGUGCCAGCAGCCGCAGUAAGAC